rnacentral:rRNA from 1 species
GUUGCCAGCGGUUCGGCCGGGAACUCAAAGGAGACUGCCAGUGAUAAACUGGAGGAAGGUGGGGAUGACGUCAAGUCAUCAUGGCCCUUACGAGUAGGGCUACACACGUGCUACAAUGGCGCAUACAAAGAGAAGCGACCUCGCGAGAGCAAGCGGACCU